ensembl:lncRNA
UGUAACGCCGUGAAGGAGAUGUUGUCUGAUGAGGAUGUUGAAGGCUGCACUCCUCUGCACUACGCCUGCAAACUUGGCAUCCACGAUUCGGUCAAAAAUAUGCUGGGUCUCAAUAUCUUUGUGGGUCAAAAGUCACGGGAGAAGAAAUCAGCUCUUCACUUCGCUGCAGAGUGAGAACGUUUGUAAUACAGUCACAGGCACACAGCUAUAUGAAAAUCAGAUCUUUGUGCUUAUUUUCUUAUAUAUANACUUGGGAGAACAAAACAGAGAAAGAAGCAGGAAUCAAUUCCUGCAAAUCCCUUAAGGACUGCUGCAAAUCUCUGGUGGAUCGUCGUAGGAAACGUCAAGCUGCUCGUUUGGCUCGCGUGCAGGACUACUUCGCUCAGAAAGCAAUGGAAACCCAGUUGGGAUGUAAUUCCUACACAGAUGAAAGUACCACAUCCAUCCCAAAGCUGUCUAUACCAAGUAGAACUGACUUGCCAGUUGUCCACAGCCAACAAGGAUGCAAUAUGGACACACCACCAAUACUAAUGUACCACCAGAUCCCUUUGCUUUCCCUGGAUUGGGGCAGUACCACAACAACACCCCCCCAAGCAAACCCUCCAGAUGCCUGCAGUAAAACAAGACAUCAGGUUGAAGACCACCUAGCCAUAUCUGCUUCUGAGGCCUGGGAAACCUUUCUUAACAGCACUGAUAUGCAGCACCAAGUAUGUGUUCCUCCAGAGUCAGAAGUUUUAGUCCCAAUGGAGGACAAGGGAACUGAGAAAGACCACAGUCAAGAGUCUCCUGACAGGAAAGCAAUGGAAACUGUAAAAUCUGUUCCAGUAAAGCAAUCAAAGGAUCUCAGCACAAGUCCUUCUAGAGAUCAGGUUGUGGAUUACCAACCAGUGAAAGAGCCAAGGGUCACUACCUUACCAUGUUCUGCCCAGGGAUCGGAGCCAGAGGGGGCGGGAAGUGAGUCAGAGGCAUCUCGUGACCACCAAGGCCCACAUCAAGAGCACACAAGCGGAUCUUUGAGUCAAGACACGACCAAAGCAAACCCUAGGGAUGAAACUCAAACCACAUAUGACACCAAGACUCAGAAUUCAGAAGCCGGAGAUGGAAUCUCACCUGAAGAAUGCACAGGCAGCUCCGACACCUCAAAGGUUAAAGAAAACACACAAAGAGCGGUCAAAGGCACCCUGACAUUUACGGGGAUCAUGGACGUGCCACUCGCAAAUAGACAGGCCGAGGGAUCUUCUUCAGAAAGGAAGGAUAUAAAUAAAGAUGCUAGCGAGGAGCAGGUGGAAAUGAGGGCGUUCUGUAGAGAACUACAUGAAGAGGACACGGAAAGCAGUAGAAAAGGACAAGAUGAGACAACUACGGAUCACAGCGUAGAAAUACAAGGCAAGGCUUUUAAUGAGAACGAAUUAUGCACGUCGAGCAGGAGUUUUAACAAAGACAAUUCAGAGCUAUUGAAAAACAAAGAGAGGCGUUGUGAGGCAAACGAUGGACUUAAAAUGAAGAAACGACUGAAUGAGACGACUAUAGAAGCUGCUAGUUUUGAAGAGAAUGAAAUGCAUUCAGAAGAGCUUAUAGAGGACUCACGAGCAGUGGGUGACAGUUGCACAGAUGGAGAAAAGAAAGAGUUUGAGAUUCAUGCUACCAAAUUUGCACCCUCCCACAUACCUACCUAUCCAACAGUUAGCACUGACCCAUCCAGGCACCUCCUUCGGACAGCAUCUGCAAAGGAAACUUCUGCAGAGGAGGACUUUGAGCUUGGGAAGACCCUCAGAAACUUUCAAGAACCCCAGCGACUGGGCGGAGAGGAUGAACUCUCCACGCCGUUACCCAGCAUUCACCUGUCCUGGGUGGGCGGCAACAGCAGUAGGCUGUUGAGAGAAUUCUGCUCACUGGGUCACACGGCCAAGGCUCUUGUGUAUGCUAUUCUGUUUGUGAUCUUCAUAAUGGUGUAUCUCUACGACCUGCCGGCCUGCAUGGCCCUCUAUCUGUUUUCUCUGUGCUGGUGGUGCAGCCAGGGUAUGAAGCAGCGUCUGGAUGCGGCUAUUGAUGUGGACUGAGACCAGACAGGAAGUUCUUGAAAGAUUCUGAGGAAGUUGUUGUCAAAUUAUGUGUGACUCUGAAAUGAAAAGUGACACGAAGUGAUUCUAUGGGCCCGAAAUCACUUGAUAAAAUGAGAUUUAGUAGGGCAUUUUUGUUUGUUUCUUUCUUGUCAUUUGUGUUUCCAUUAAAAGUCCCAUUUGAAACAGGAGUCUUUUAAUAGAAUACUAAACUCAAAUUAGAAUAGUGGAUAUGUGCUAAUCUAAUUUUGUGAUAUAAUUAAAUGACAGAAAACAUUCUUAUAAUGUCAAAGGCAACAACUGCUUUCGCAGAUAUAUCUCCAUGAUAUACAGUGCGAUUAAAAAGUAUCUAUACUAAAUAUUUUAGUUUUUGAGUUUUUAAUUAACAUUUUUUUUUGCAUUUUUUUCCAGUAAAGAUUCUGUAUAGAAAAAUUCACAAAGGAAGAUAAAAUUACUUCACAAGCCACAUUGCAUAAGAUAUGAAGACUUCUGAUUUAUAGUGCAUCGUGUAUAAGUGUAAAAUAAAAUAAAAAUCGGAAAAAAUAAAAAUACA